rnacentral:rRNA from 1 species
UACAGGGGUCUCAAGCGUUGUUCGGAAUCACUGGGCGUAAAGGGUGCGUAGGCGGGUCUUUAAGUCAGGGGUGAAAUCCUGGAGCUCAACUCCAGAACUGCCUUUGAUACUGAAGAUCUUGAGUCCGGGAGAGGUGAGUGGAACUGCGAGUGUAGAGGUGAAAUUCGUAGAUAUUCGCAAGAACACCAGUGGCGAAGGCGGCUCACUGGCCCGGUACUGACGCUGAGGCACGAAAGCGUGGGGAGCAAACAGG